rnacentral:rRNA from 1 species
GACGAACGCUGGCGGCGUGCCUAAUACAUGCAAGUAGAACGCUGAAGGAGGAGCUUGCCUCUCUGGAUGAGUUGCGAACGGGUGAGUAACGCGUAGGUAACCUGCCUGGUAGCGGGGGAUAACUAUUGGAAACGAUAGCUAAUACCGCAUAAGAGUAGAUGUUGCAUGACAUUUGCUUAAAAGGUGCAAUUGCAUCACUACCAGAUGGACCUGCGUUGUAUUAGCUAGUUGGUGGGGUAACGGCUCACCAAGGCGACGAUACAUAGCCGACCUGAGAGGGUGAUCGGCCAAACUGGGACUGAGACACGGCCCAGACUCCUACGGGAGGCAGCAGUAGGGAAUCUUCGGCAAUGGACGGAAGUCUGACCGAGCAACGCCGCGUGAGUGAAGAAGGUUUUCGGAUCGUAAAGCUCUGUUGUAAGAGAAGAACGAGUGUGAGAGUGGAAAGUUCACACUGUGACGGUAUCUUACCAGAAAGGGACGGCUAACUACGUG